rnacentral:rRNA from 2 species
UAGUAACGGCGAGUGAAGCGGGAUGAGCUCAAGCUUAAAAUCUCUGUGCCAGUUUGGCAUGGCGAAUUGUAGUCUAUAGAGGCGUUGUCAGUGCGGCUGUGCGGGGUAAGUUCCUUGGAAGAGGACAGCAUCGAGGGUGAUACUCCCGUUUGUACCUGUGCGGCUUGCGCGUACGACACGUUUUCUUCGAGUCGCGUUGUUUGGGACUGCAGCGCAAAGUAGGUGGUAAAUUCCAUCUAAAGCUAAAUAUUGGUGCGAGACCGAUAGCGAACAAGUACCGUGAGGGAAAGAUGAAAAGAACUUUGAAAAGAGAGUUAAAGAGUACCUGAAACUGCUGAAAGGGAAGCGAAUCGUAUCCAGUGUCUAUAAUCUGCGGCAUAUUUCAUUGGCGGCUUUGUGCGUGCUAUUGUUUCGGAAGCGGCUUUUGUUGCUCUGUGCUUUGGUGUUGUGCGUUGCUGCUGGUGCCCUGUGUUGCGGUGGGACGUCAGAGUCAGUUCGUAUGCUGCGGGAAAUGGCUGCCGAGGAGGUAGGUCAGGACUUCGGUCUUGGCUGUUAUAUCUUGGUGGUUUGUUGUCGUGGUUGGGACUGAGGUGCCUACAAUGUGCUUUUGAGUGUGCUGGGUUCUCAUUUGGUGGACUGUUUGGAUAGCUUGCUAUGCUUGUGGUUUUUUCAUCGAGUGAUUGAGUCUGGUGGUAACUUAUUGCCGUUC